UUUUUCUUGUUAACAAGUGAGAAUAAUUUGUUUUUUUCUCAAUUACUUAUUUAAGGUCAACACCUUUAUAGAAAGUUGGACAGUGGUCAUCAUGUUUUUCUAACAUUCUCAAUGGUGUCUUGAAGAUUUUCUUCUUAUUUUGCCUCUUUACCUUUGCCACCUUCUUGUUUGACCUACACGAGUCCAUCGAUUACAGUUGGUUGCUCUCUUUUCAUCUUCUCCAUUGGACCAAACAAAUCAUCUUUAUCUUCAUCUUAUUCAUCAAUACAGGCUAAUUCAAUUGUGUAUAAUCAUAUUAUUGUUGUGAGCGACUACUGUUAGUUUAUUUUGUAUCUUCAUUGUCCACUAACAAGCCAAUUGACCAAAAUAGUCUUAAGUAUAAACACAACCAACUGUAAAGUCCCUUGUAAAAAAAUGAGACUGGACAAUAAUACAGAUAUGAAUGUAUACAUAAUGAUGAAUACAAAAGUGUCUCGAAGAAUCUUCACCUUGACCAGAAUAUUUCCGAUUGAUUCUUAAGGAGAUCAGUUAUCGUUUCGAAAAGUUCUUUUCGAUUCUUGAAGCCACUUUCAAAGUUGUCGCGCUCGCAAUUAUCGAUCAAUAAUUACCAUGGAUUUUGGAAUUUUAUGAAUUUCACCUUGAAUUUUUUAUUCGUUUUCGAUUACCUUGUUUAAUCUUCACCAUCUCUCUUUCUCUUUUCUCAUCUUCGAAUCUUUAUUAAUCUGUAUUACUACAGAACUCAAUCUAAGUUUAUCCUCUCACUUGCGCCUGUCAUCACAUCAUCUUCUCUCUUUAUCUUUGGCGGAUAAAAUGUUAUCCUGUAACUGGAACACUUUCCAUGAUAUUAUAAUGAUAAUUUAACACUUAUAGGUAUCAUCAUCUUCAUCUCUAUCAUCAUCUUUAAAAUUUUCCACUUGUCAAAUAGUCUCUAUUCCUGAGAUUCACUAAAUUACAUUGUGAUUCUCUAACAUUCAUAUACAUAAAGAUAUGAAAUUAUCUGUGGAAAAAAAAUUUACAGAAUGAUGAUGAUGACAAAUGCUAACAAUUUAUUACUCUAAAUUCAAUAUACUCAACAAUUCUCCCUGUGUUUAUUUACCUUAUUCCUCCAUUCAUAUGAAUCAACUAAUAUUUUCCACUCCCACUUUUCAACCAGAACGUGAGUAAAAUUAUCAUAGAGAAAAAAAAACAACACUGAAUUCGAAUAAAUUUGAUUCAUUGAGACACAGAAUUGAAAGACAAACAUGUUACACCUUUUUUCUCUCACUAUCAUGCUCAAAAUAUAUUCCAAGUCAAGAUAAUAUUCAGAAAGAUUCAAAUUCUCCAGAGAUUUUGAUAAAAGUAAAUUAUAUUUUUUUCUUCUCUAAGUUGAUAUAAUUUACUGAUUAUCAUGAUUAUUACUAUUAUCAUCAUUACCUGUAUCAAAAAGAUGAAGAGAGAGAGAGAGAG